UGGUUAUGGUCCAUCACUGGCUGUUCAUCCAGCUCCAGCCCACACCACCCAGGUCCCUGGGAGGCCUAUUCUCCAGAGCAGGACUGGGGCCAGGCUGGACUCCAGCCGAUUCCCCUACCCUGCUCCAGAGCUCAGUGACUCCCUUGCGCUGAGCCUUCUUGCCAGCAGGUGGCACCCAAAGCCUGAAAGCUGAACUACUCUGUUCCACGUUGUUUUUCUGAGCUGCUUAUUGGGACACAUUACCUGGCUUGGGCUAUGCUUGGGCUUGGAGAAGAUGCUCUGGCCUGUGGACCUGGCUCCUGGCUCCCAUGCUGCUGUCCUUUCCUCCUGAUCUAGUAGCAGUCAUUGCUUGGACUUCCCAUUUGCCUCAUAGUCUGAU
rnacentral:lncRNA from 1 species